UUCUAACUAAGUGCCGGAGGCAAGAGGAUUGAUUUUACAAUGAAAACUAAGCCAUAUUUAUAGACCUCAAAUUUCCCUAGAUCACCAAGGAAGUUGCCAUGCAAAGCCGGACUCUAAAAGGAAUAGAAUCGUGCAAAGGAAGGUAAGUCCAGCUGUGACGCGCGAUGCAAGUCAUCUCCAUUCUGGCCGAAUUUGCGGCUCUCGCCAGAGAAACGGCUUCCGCUCUGGCGCACUUGUCUGCUCUGACUCUCGGUUCCUCGGGCUUCUUGAUUUCUCUACUCUGGCAUUCGGUUCCUCUGACUGGUGAUUCCGCUGCUCUGGCUUUUCAUUUCUCUGGCUAUUCAUUUCUCUGACUAUUGAUUCCUCUGGCGAUGGAUUCCUCUGGCGAUUGAUUCCUCAGCUCUGACUUCGCUGCGAUGACUUUUCUCCCCUCUGACUUGUGAUUUCGCUGCUCUGGCGAAUGACUUCUCUGGAUCUGGAGCGCUUCUCUGCUCUGGAGAGCUUGGUUCCGCUGCUCUGGCUUCCGCGCGGGGUUUUGCUUCUCUGACGUGCCAGAGUAUGCACAUAAACACAAUUCUUAGCCCAAACUCUCCCAAAUUUGCAGUCUUCAUCUCGAAAACCUAAAUCUCCUGCAAAGCAUAAAAUACACCAUAAAACGCACCAAUUUCCAGAAGAUUUAACUUAAAAUAAAGCUCAUGCAA
rnacentral:lncRNA from 1 species